AACGAACGCUGGCGGCAUGCCUAACACAUGCAAGUCGAACGAAGCCUUCGGGCUUAGUGGCGCACGGGUGCGUAACACGUGGGAAUCUGCCCUUAGGUACGGAAUAACUCAGGGAAACUUGAGCUAAUACCGUAUGAUGUCUUCAGACCAAAGAUUUAUCGCCUAAGGAUGAGCCCGCGUCGGAUUAGCUAGUUGGUGGGGUAAAGGCCUACCAAGGCGACGAUCCGUAGCUGGUCUGAGAGGAUGAUCAGCCACACUGGGACUGAGACACGGCCCAGAAUCCUACGGGGGGCAGCAGUGGGGAAUAUUGGACAAUGGGCGAAAGCCUGAUCCAGCAAUGCCGCGUGAGUGAAGAAGGCCUUCGGGUUGUAAAGCUCUGUUACCCGGGAAGAUAAUGACUGUACCGGGAGAAUAAGCCCCGGCUAACUCCGUGCCAGCCGCCGCUGUAA
rnacentral:rRNA from 1 species